AUCCAGCUGACGAGUCUCAAAAUGGGAUGAAACGCGCAUUCUGGAU
rnacentral:hammerhead_ribozyme from 1 species